CUACGGGGGGCUCCAGUGAGGAAUUUUGCGCAAUGGGGGCAACCCUGACGCAGCAACGCCGCGUGAGUGAAGAAGGCCUUUGGGUCGUAAAGCUCUGUCAACAGGGAAGAAGUUACUAUGUAUUAAUAGUAUGUAGUAUUGACGGUACCUGUGGAGGAAGCAUCGGCUAACUCCGUGCCAGCAGCCGCGGUAAUACGGGGGAUGCACGCGUUAUUCGGAAUCAUUGGGCGUAAAGGGCACGCAGGCGGCUCUGUCAGUCAGAUGUGAAAGCCCGGGGCUCAACCCCGGACGUGCAUUUGAAACAGCAGAGCUUGAGUACGGUAGAGGAAAGCGGAAUUCCUGGUGUAGAGGUGAAAUUCGUAGAUAUCAGGAGGAACACCGGUGGCGAAGGCGGCUUUCUGGACCGAAACUGACGCUGAGGUGCGAAGGCGUGGGUAGCGAACAGGAUUAGAUACCCUCGUAGUC
rnacentral:rRNA from 1 species